CCCUUAGAUGUCCUGGGCCGCACGCGCGCUACACUGAUGCAUGCAACGAGUUUAUAACCUUGGCCUGAAAGGUCUGGGUAAUCUUUUGAACGUGCAUCGUGAUAGGGAUAGAUUAUUGCAAUUGUUAAUCUUGAACGAGGAAUUCCUAGUAAACGCGAGUCAUCAGCUUGCGUUGAUUACGUCCCUGCCCUUUGUACACACCGCCCGUCGCUAGUACCGAUUGAAUGGCUUAGUGAGGCUUCAGGAUUUGCUUAGAUCGAGGGGCAACUCUCUUUCAGAGCGGAGAAUCUAGUCAAACUUGGUCAUUUAGAGGAACUAAAAGUCGUAACA
rnacentral:rRNA from 1 species